ACUGCUCAAAAAACUUCAUUUGUCGGCUUUUUUUAAUUAGUAGUGCAUAUUUAUGAUAAAUGUUCUUUGAAAUUUGCAACAGGAAACAUGUAUUCAUAUGAUUGGUUUCAUGAGAUGUUUUACUCUGCAUUUACUUGAUUUUUAUUUUAUUUAUUUGUUUAUGACAACAUCUUCAUGUCCCACCUGUGGAUAUCUGUAUAUUUUAAACUUCUACUGUAUAUUAUCUCUCCAUUUUGCUGAAUUUGGAACAUUAAGAAGUAAGUUGCAUGUGGAACCACACAUACAGGCACGUUUCCUGCCUGCAAUGCAAGCAUGCUAAAUGUUAGA
rnacentral:misc_RNA from 1 species